rnacentral:rRNA from 1 species
CUCACAGGCGCUACCCAUAAACCCUUUGUGAAUACUACCUAAAAAACGUUGCCUCGGCAUUGGUUGGCCUCUUUGAGGUCCCUUCUCUAGGGAAGGAGCAGACCGGCCGGUGGCCCUAUAAACUCUUGUCUUUGUAAUAUCAUCUGAGUAAAACAACUAAAAUGAAUCAAAACUUUCAACAACGGAUCUCUUGGUUCUGGCAUCGAUGAAGAACGCAGCGAAAUGCGAUAAGUAAUGUGAAUUGCAGAAUUCAGUGAAUCAUCGAAUCUUUGAACGCACAUUGCGCCCGGUGGUAUUCCACCGGGCAUGCCUGUUCGAGCGUCAUUUCAACCCUCAAAGCCCUGGCUUUGGUGUUGGAGGAAUACCCUGUUAAAAAGGGUACCCUCUGAAAUUUAGUGGCGGGCUCGCUAGAAUUUUGAGCGUAGUAAUUUUACCUCGUUUUUAAAGACUAGUGGGACUUCUUGCCGUAAAACCCCCCAACUUUCUGAAAAUUGACCUCGGAUCAGGUAGGAAUACCCGCUGAACUUAAGCAUAUCAAUAAGGCUGGAGGAA